UUUAAUUAGUUUGAGAAAAUGGGAAAUGUGAGUUUCAACAAAAACAAAGAUAUGGCAAUAUUGCUAAUAAUUAUACUUUUAGUGACAGCAAUUUGUAUAUUCCCAUUCUUCUUAAAGACACCACCACCAAUUUUCUUGCUUCUCUGGUUUUGCACUAUCCCUCUUUGUAUCAUCCUUUAUUCUAUUUAUCUUGCGAUUUACUUUUGUUGAAAUCGCAAACAGGCCUCUACAACUGCAGGUGAUGAUGAUUAAAUGAAGUUCCAAUGGUCGAUUAAUUGAUUUCGCAAAUAAUACAUAGGAGGUUUUAUUUUUAUUUAAUUCCUAGCUUGGGAAUAAAUUACAAUGUAAUAUCGUCUAUUCAAGCCCUUCAUUUGUAUGUUGAGUAACAUUAUUUUUAUUGGAGGACUUUAUA
rnacentral:lncRNA from 1 species